UACGUAGGGUGCAAGCGUUAAUCGGAAUUACUGGGCGUAAAGCGUGCGCAGGCGGUUUUGUAAGUUUGUCGUGAAAUCCCCGGGCUCAACCUGGGAAUGGCGAUGAAGACUGCAAGGCUAGAAUCUGGCAGAGGGGGGUAGAAUUCCACGUGUAGCAGUGAAAUGCGUAGAGAUGUGGAGGAACACCGAUGGCGAAGGCAGCCCCCUGGGUCAAGAU
rnacentral:rRNA from 1 species